rnacentral:rRNA from 1 species
AUUGAACGCUAGCGGGAUGCUUUACACAUGCAAGUCGAACGGCAGCACGAGAGAGCUUGCUCUCUUGGUGGCGAGUGGCGGACGGGUGAGUAAUAUAUCGGAACGUGCCCAGUAGCGGGGGGAUAACUACUCGAAAGAGUGGCUAAUACCGCAUACGCCCUACGGGGGAAAGGGGGGGAGUUCUUCGGAACCUCUCACUAUUGGAUCGGCCGAUAUCGGAUUAGCUAGUUGGUGGGGUAAAGG